AGUGAACGCUGGCGGUAGGCCUAACACAUGCAAGUCGAACGGCAGCACAGGAGAGCUUGCUCUCUGGGUGGCGAGUGGCGGACGGGUGAGGAAUACAUCGGAAUCUACUCUGUCGUGGGGGAUAACGUAGGGAAACUUACGCUAAUACCGCAUACGACCUACGGGUGAAAGCAGGGGAUCUUCGGACCUUGCGCGAUUGAAUGAGCCGGUGUCGGAUUAGCUAGUUGGCGGGGUAAAGGCCCACCAAGGCGACGAUCCGUAGCUGGUCUGAGAGGAUAAUCGGCCACACUGGAACUGGGACACGGGCCAGAUUCGUACGGGAGCCAGCAGUGGGGAAUAUUGGAAAAUGGGCGGAAGCCUGAUGCAGCCAUACCGCGUGGGUGAAGAAGGCAUUCGGGUUGUAAAGCCCUUUUGUGGGGAAAGAAAUCCAGCUGGCUAAUACCCGGUUGGGAUGACGGUACCCAAAGAAUAAGCACCGGCUAACUUCGUGCCAGCCGCCGCAGUAA
rnacentral:rRNA from 1 species